AGCCGUGACUCGAACUUUAUCUGCGACCCAGUCGAAGUGAUCUCGGAGAUUGGACAGUGGAGAAUCCGACACCGGGAUGUGCACGUACUCAUCCACCCCAGGAGGACAGCUGCUCCUGGCUUCGCUGACGUUGAUGAUGCAGGGGGGCUGCGUUACAUCAGCUGCCUGCGACUGCGGGCACUUCUCGGUUGUCUUGGAAACCGGAUUGGGGAUAAAGGAGGAGCAUUGGAGAGAGCGUAAACCUGUGGAAGCAGCUGGAAACCGAGACCGCUGGUUCAAUCCGGUCCUCUCUGUCAAAGAAGCCUCUGUUCCAGCUCUUUGUCCUGCUGCUUCCGCCUCCACUCGCUUUCCCCGGACUGCGCUCCCUGGGAAGGAGCAGCUGUUAUUCAUCCCCCACCCCACACACAGACACACACACAUACUCGUCUCACCACAGCAGCCAUGUAAAGCGGUCUGGGCCGUGGAUCAUCGGAAUCUUCUUUGAGGAUGGAAGGACAUUUGACUGCAAGAAGCCCAGCUGCUGUCCUCAUGCGACCAUCAGCUUUUCCAGAAAUCAGACAGCAAAGAGGAUGAGGAGGAAAGCAGAGGGAGCAGCGAUCCUCUCGCGGUGAAGCAGCAAGGCAGCUGCAGAACCUGAAGACAAAGGGCAUCCUUUGUGGUCCCACCUGAACAGCUGACACCACAGCAGUGAGGAUUGUGGGAGGAUCCAUCGGAUGGACAGGUCACGUGGACAGGAAUGAUUGUUUUUCUUAAAAUUUAGGGGCUAAUCUGAUUAGUGUCAAUUCAGUGUGUGAGUUUGAUUUAUAAUGAAUGUUUCACCUAGUUAUUUUAGUCUUAAAUGGACUAAAAAGUUGAAAUGAUACAAAGAAAAGCAGUCGAAUCUUUUCAGGAUGGUUGUGGAGGGCUGCCAUUGUGCAUUCCACCUUUUCUGCUGCUUUUUGUUGUUUGCUCCUAUCUAGUGAUGCCGAUGAAAAACGCACGUUGGGCUUAACUGGACCACACUGCAGCGAUGAUGGCAUCUGCCUGUUCUCCACUGCUCUGCUGCCCCACAGAAACGAGACUGAUGCUCCUCCUUCUGUGGCCUCCUUUGCUGAAAUGUAAUUUUACAUUCUCUGCUCAGCAAGAGAAAACAUCUGCUGCUUUCGUUGGUCAACGGACAGAAGAAGUAACGCAGUAGCUUAUGAUAUGUUGUGAAUACAUUUGGUCAGACUUGUUUUUUUGUAGUUGCUGUCUCUUGAUCUGCUGAUCAAACACACAAAAGGUGACUCAUUUUAUCCUUAAAUGUUUUCUAUUUUUCCCUUUCAUUUCUGUUUGGAACAAACUAGUGGAGAAGUUGUUUUUUUGGUCUUGUGUCAGCCUUUUAUUUUUGCACUUUUCAUUAUCAGAGUUGGACUGAAACCAGCAAAGCAGUUUUUAUUUUCGGAUUAGAGCAGAGCUUCAGCAUGUCGACACUUGCUGUAGCUCUGCUGUAGACAGAAAUGCUUUUUUCUUUUUUUUUUUUGGAUUCAUUUCUGAUCAUGUGAGAUUUACACUCUUCUGUUUGUUGUGAAGCCUCUUCUGUUUGGUGCGAUAUCUGCUAUUUUUACUGCACCACUCACACCCGUGCGCGGUUGUUGUGUGCGACGUGCAUGCAAGGUUUGUUUAGUGCAUGCUGUCCGUCCGUGUGUGCAUUUUGGAUCCGUCCGUGUGCAUGUGGGUCACGUCGGCCUGAUGAAGUGGAUCUGCAACAGGCCUGAAGCUGCAGCUGUUUUUAGACGCUGGGUGUACCAGAGAGGGACAGAUAGGACACGAUUUACCGAUGAUUCUUAGCAUUUGUAACCACACCACCGUAUCAACAGUUAUCCUUGUUAUUCGGAUCUCAAGGAUGUCAUUGGAAAUCAGUGGCGUGGGCUUCUCCAAAUGGCGCCCGCUGGCACGAAUUACAGACUCCUGAUGCCAGCAGCUCUAUCGUUUAACACUCAAGCAAAUUACAGCAAAUGCUAAUAAUUAUGUGUAAACAGCCUUUUAUCCAGGCCUGGAUUUGUACUAACAGUAUUUGACUAAUUUACUAAUCUCUGCUAACAUAUGAAGGAUUACUAACCAGUUUUGAGAAUGCUGAUAGCUUGUACUUCUAACCCACUAACCAACCCUCUGCUUUAUUCCCACACUCUGAAGCCAAUGCUCUUCUCAUGCCACGAGAAUCAAAAGCCUUAAAGGACACCAAAAAAAAGCAAACAUUUGCAUGUCAAGAGGAGUUCAGGGCCAUUUUUAACAGCAGAGACCGCUUCUGAAAUCAGGCAGGACUGACCCCACUCCCCAUAGCAAACAUUUAAAAAUAUGUCUAAAACCCAUGUACAUAGAGGAGGGAGCGGUUUCUCCUUCUGAUGUUUUAGGCUCCGUGUGGUCAGCCUGUACUGAUGAGCGGCGGCGGUCUCUUUGUCCCAGCGGGCAGAAAGGCCACGGCAGCACAGGAAAGCCCCUCUAUACUAACAUCUGAUACUAACAGGGGGGAGGCUGGACCUCAUCACCUAUUCUUACUAACGCCUUGCUGUUGUUUAAUACAACACAGCAUGCCGUGUGGGAGCACUGCUGCUCAAUAAAUGAGCAGGGCUUCAUGCAAACCGUGUUCUCGUGUCAGUAUCGUGUGCUUGUUAGCAGAGGGUAGAAUGAUGGAGGAUUUGCUUUUUUUCCUCCUAAUUAAUUCAACAGUGACUAACCUGAGAGGCUUAUGUUUGCAAACUAACAAACUAACCUACUAAUGAACUAAUAAACUAACAGACUACAGCUACUGAUUAUAGAAGAGAACGCACCAACAGUGAGGGAACACAUCUGAAUGUUUAAAGUGUGUGUGUCUUUGGACAAUGUGUGUACCUAGAAAUGCAGGUUAUGUUAGAUUUUCAGCCAAUAUGAACAAUAGAAAAUACAUGAAAUCUACUGAAACUGUACACCUUAAAGCCUGUGUGGAGAAAUCCCAAAUGUAGGAGAUAUAAAUGAAUACAACAUGUUGACUUUUUAAGGUUUUAUCUUAAUUAUAAUCUGUUUUCAUAGUGAUAAAAAGUAUGUUUUGUUGUAUUUUUCAUUUUUGAACCACUGUGUUUAUGGAAAAAUGUAAGCAGGGAGUCAUUUUGUUGACAACAAUUUAUACAGCAACAGUUUUUAUAUUUUUUUAACAAGCAUACAGAAAAUCUGAACUCUCUAUUUUUAUUUAUAGGGUGAUGCAUGAUCCCGAAUCCUGUCAUGUCUAACUCCAAAUUAAUGUUUUAACUCAUUCCUAAAAAUGUAACCCAAACUUUAACACCAGUUUUUACUACACCCCAUUUUUUUCUGCCAACUGACAUUAUAAUGACUGGCUAUAUGACAUUUUGGCAUAUAAGAUCCAGGAAAAUGUAGUCAUUAUUUUGCUCAUGGUGUUUAUAUUGAUGCCCAAGUGGCAAACAUGAUUAAAUAAACUCAAAUAUAUUCGAGCACUAAAUGAGGCUUCAGCAUAAAAUCUUUUUCAGGCAGAUAUAUUUAUAUAUUUUUUUUAAAAAGGCCAUUUAAGUUUCCAAAUUGCAUACAUGGGAAAAAAAACAUCCCCUUUAGGUUUUAAUAAAAAAUAUAUAUUUGGAUAUCAAAAUUAAAAAAUUAUUUGCCCUUUUAAUUGCAUGUUUGUUGUAUUUUUUGCUAGUUGCAGCAGAUAUUUAAUGUUAAUGUGUAUUUAAAAAGAGAUAUCACUAAAAGAAUUAAUGGCUGUCGUUGCCUAGGUAUUACAGUAGGGGGCAGCAGCUCACCAGGCUUGAUUUUUUUUUUUAAAUUCUUGUUUAUCUUUUAUUGCAGUGUCAGUUCUGCUUUUGACUUUGCGCUUGUAGCUGAUAUUUAUAUUCGGAAGAAACAUUUCAGUUUUGUUGCUCCAGUUUCACAUUUUCCUAAUUCUUUUAGUGAUUUGUAACCUAAAUAAUAAAACCUUAACAUUUGUGUUAAAAUGUAAAAGCUGUAAUUUUUUGUAUCAAAAAUAGAACCAUUUUUCACUUUAUAAUUUUAUGCCAGAGGUAAUGUGGAAUAAGUGUUUGGUGCAAAGUCAGAGGUUCUUUUCUUUCUGUUUGAGUCAAAUCCGUAGUAGGAAAAGACAAGUGUGACCAAAGAAUUAUUGUAUUUCAUCCGUUUUUGUCCGAUCUUUCUGAUUCUUGUCCUGUUGAGUGUUGUUUAAAACACUCUACAGGCUAUUGUGUGUGACAGUAGUUGGCAAACAUGUGUUGCGUGCCCCCCCCAGUCUGCUUAUGUCAGAAAAAUAGGGCUCAACUCUGCCCCCCCCCCCCCACUUGAGCACGAUGUGAUCCAGAUGACGGGGGGGGGGGUGGGGGGGUGGGGGGGGGGUGUUGGGUGUGUGUGUGUGUGUGGGGGUGGUGUUUAAAAGGUAGGGGUAGAAGGGGCCCGGGUCUUCACGGGUCAGCUGUAAUUGACCACAGGGCUUAGAAACUAGAAUCUUAACCAACUUCUAGAACGGCAGGGCUCCACUUAACGUCUUAAAUAUCACAAAAAGUACAGUUCAAAGGCAGGUAUGUUGGCAUUAUAAACAUUAUUCGGCUUAAUGAUGCCCUCUGGAGUGUGGUUUGCUGUGUAAACACUUGUGCCUGUGCUCAGGUUUGAAGGGAUGCGGGCACCAGAGACAUCUACAUCCCUGGAAGCAAGGCGUAGUAAAAACAUUGUGGGUUGGGAUCUGCUACUGCCACAAUUAUCCCGCAGUUUUGGAAUCUCUUACGGCUUUAGCAAUCAUUUACUUCCAUUUGCACCUUUUGAACAAAAUAAGUGCAGCUCCCGUCGAGCGCUUGUGUGCGUGAUCUGGAAACAACUGGCUGCAACCAGAGCUCCCGUCACUGGGAAGAGGCCAGAAAAAAUGACACCUUUAACUGAAAGAUCCUGUGGAAGUAGAAGAAGUUUUAAAUUUAUUUUUGUACUCAGAAGUGCUCUGCCUUAGGAAAUUUAAAAUAGUAAGAUGCCUGAAAGACAGUUCAAGGGCUAAGAAGAGAUUGCUUUUCGUGUGAGCGUCUGUUUAAGCGUGUCUCAGCUUGGAUCAGUCAAAGAAAGACAGGCUAUUGUAAUGUGGGUGCCUUCUAUUUUUAGGGUGAGCAUCUUAUUUUGGCUUACUGCUGUCUUAUUUUGGCUUGCUGAAUGUAAAGUCUAUGCAUAAUCAAUGCAUGCACAUACCAACAAGUGCAGCCCUAAUUUUAAACAGAAGCCACUGUUGGUUGCAUUAAAGUUUUACGUUUUUCUUGUUCGACGAAAUAUAUAUAUUUUUUUCCAUUUUUAACUGCAGAUUUAUGCAUGUAGGAGUUCUUUGCUGAGUGAGGUCAAAAGUGUAUGGACUCCAAAAAGAGGGGCGGAGAGCAGGAACGGCGGAUGAAAGUGGAAAAGUUUGGGUCAUGGGUCUUGUAGUCGCAUAACAGAGACGGGUUGAGUUAAAGGAAAUGGUUUGCAGACUCUCAAUACUUGCAAAAGAGAAACAUCUUAGAACUGAGCAUUUAUGGUUGUUUUAGAUGGAAAUUAUUUUGACAAAUAAAAGUAUAGUGAAGCGGAAUCUACUGUAAAGCCUAGCUAUGUUGUUCUCACUGCAGAUUUGGGAUAUGUUACAAAUUUUCCUUAAAUCUUCAGCUAUUUUCCUGUGAAAAUGUAAUUUCUUAUUUAUCUACUCUACUAAACUCUCCAUUAAACAUUUUUAACAUUG